AGUGAACGCUGGCGGUAGGCCUAAUACAUGCAAGUCGAGCGGCAGCACAGUAAGCGCUUGCUCUUACGGUUGGCGACUGACGGACGGGUGAGGCAUACAUCGGCAUCUACUUAUACGUGGAGGAUAACGUAGGACCACUGCUGCUACCGCCGCAUACGUCCAACGGCAUAAAUCAGGAGAUCUUCGCACCUUGCCCGACUCAAUGAGCUGAUGUCGGAUUAGCUAGUUGGCGAGGUAAAGGCCCACCAAGGCGACGAUCCGUAGCUGAUCUGAGAGGAUGAUCAGCCACACUGGAACUGAGACACGGUCCAGACUCCUACGGGAGGCAGCAGUGGGGAAUAUUCGGCAAUGGGCGCAAGCCUGAUCCAGCCAUACCGCGUGAGUGAUGAAGGCCUUCGGGUCGUAAAACCCUUUUGUUGGGGAAGAAAAGCAGCAUGUUAAUCCCCCGCUGUUCUGACGGUACCCAAUGAGUAAGCCCCGGCUAACUUCGUG
rnacentral:rRNA from 1 species